GAACAUUAGAGAAACACAUCAUGGAGCUGAAAUAUGAUCCUGCUUCCUCAUUUGGACUCAUUCACCUCAGCUGACACGUUCAACAGCAGACAGGUUUUUGUAUUAGUCUGUCUCACUGUGGGAGGAUGGUGGUACAACUACGACUACCACAUCUUUGGCUCUGGAACUAAACUGUCUGUAACAGAUGGAAAUCAGAGCACCCAGAAAAGAACGACACAGGCACCGAGAGUUCCUGCAAACACACAGCAGAGCCCCACCCGACCAGCAGCAGGACCCAGAGUCCACGUGGAGGGGAACAGCUCCCUGCUGUGUGUGCCCCCAGCCAUGUUUCCUCACCUGGUCCAGCUGUCGUGUAAAAGACAGAAGAAGAACGGCCGGCUGGAGGAGCUGCCCCCUGCUGAUGGAGAGCAGCUGGAGCUCAGAGAGUCGGGACGCAACACCUCCAUCUUACUGAUCCAUCAGCAGGAGAAAAGCACAUAUAAAUGUACCUGCUGGGUGAAGCACGAGGGGGGCACAGUGGAGGCCCGAACACAACAAGAGCUUCCAGCUCCAGCAGCCUCCUGUCCUCCAGAGAGAGAGCCAGCAGACCUGCCAGCUCUGCAGCCAGCUGACUUGUCCUUCCAGUCUCAGUGCAGGGUGAAGCUGCUCUGCCUGCUGUACACAGUGCUGAUAGUGAAGAGUCUGGUGUACUGCUGUGGACUCUCUCUGCUGAUGAUGCUCACAAACAAGGGAGCGUCCACCAACUGCACACAUGCUGACUGACUGUUUCCUGCUCGCCUUUUCUCACCAUCACAUCUCAUCAAUUCA
ensembl:lncRNA